GCCUUCGUGGUGUAAUGGUCAGCACACUCAGCGCGUAUUCAAGAGUUCCGAGGUUCAAAUCCCGGCGAGGGCA
rnacentral:tRNA from 1 species